CGGGACGGGACCACUUGUUAUACCCGGAGAAGAGUUUCUUCAGGAGGCGCUCCUCCGCAUGGGCUCGCGUUUCCACGUGGCCGAAAGCGGGGAAGAUGCUGGCACACAGCAGGAGGAGGAGGUUUCCCUUAGACACGAGAAAUCCCAUUGUGGAGCAGAGCUCGGGCUUUAGGACGCAGCGUCUCCCGUCGGGGCAACUUUUCCUCUCCGAGUCUCCGGAUCCUCCGCCUUCAUUCCCCUCGGCUCCUUUCUCUCCCUCUUUUCAGAAGGGCAUCACAACUGAUUUAUAUUCUUCCCAUUCUUUGCUUCCCAGCUCUCCCCGCUAGGAAGAUGCUCUUCCCCAGGAUACGGAUGGACACUUGUUCUCGCUCGCAAGAGAUACAGGAGGGCUGCAGGGAGCUCCGGUAAGGAUGCACAGAACACCCAGCCUUCCUGCCUGCCCUGCUCGCUCCUCUCUCUGCUCCGGGGCGCUUUGGCUGCU
rnacentral:lncRNA from 1 species